UAUAUUUUGAUUUUUACUUUGAAUUAAUUUUAAACAGAAAAAUAGUCAAAAAGACUUCAAAACCCAGAAACUUCUAUUUAUUUACCAACCCAACCACUACCUAUCCAAACCCAAUAAUCCGACCCAACCCAAUCCGGAUCCCUAGACCCCCAAAUCUCUCCUUCUUCUCCAACAUCAUUUUUACGUUCUUCACCUCCAUUUUUUCAUCACCAUUUCUUAAAAAUCAAACUCAAACUCAAACUUAAGUGUCAUUCAUCUAAUCCCUUCCAUAUUAUCUGUUUUCAUUUACUUCAUCCGGAUUCACAACCUUAAAAAAGCCCAGAUUUUAAAUCUCCAUUUUAACAAAUUUCUCCAUUCCAUAAUC
rnacentral:lncRNA from 1 species